rnacentral:lncRNA from 1 species
CAACCCCUCAGCCGGAGGACAGCAGGAGAACCCUGAGCCAGUCAAGGGGGUGGAGACGUCGUCCUCUGGUGGUGACUUUGCCUUUGCCCCCGGACCAUGCCAGUGCCUUGGCCGUGUGGAUACCCGGGAUUGGCAGGCCCAGCAACUAAUUGUAAACCACAAAAUCGACUCAGAUCCAUACUUGAGCACUUGUCGCAUCUUAAUUGCC